rnacentral:rRNA from 1 species
GUAAGAUAAUAAGGGCAACUGGUGGAUGCCUAGGCGCUGAUAGGCGAAGAAAGACGUGGUAGGCUGCGAUAAGCCUCGGGGAGCCGCCAAACAGGCUUUGAUCCGGGGGUUUCUGAAUGGGGAGACCCGUCGGGAGUCAUGUCCCGUCAUCCCUUGGCUGAAUGCAUAGGCCUUGGGAAGCCAACCCGGGGAAGUGAAACAUCUCAGUACCCGGAGGAAGAGAAAUCAACCGAGAUUCCCUUAGUAGCGGCGAGCGAACGGGGACUAGCCCAAACCGGUGUCUUUCGAGGCGCCGGGGUUGUGGGGCCGUCAUCACGUGAUCCGGAAGUAGAUAGCGGAACAGGCUGGGAAGCCUGGCCAUAGCGAGUGAAAGCCUCGUACGCGAAGUCGAACCCGGCGCAGACGGUACCCGAGUAGGGCGGGGCACGUGAAACCCCGUCUGAAUCUGGGGGGACCAUCCUCCAAGGCUAAAUACUCAUCAGCGACCGAUAGUGCACAAGUACCGUGAGGGAAAGGUGAAAAGGACCCCUGUUAGGGGAGUGAAAGAGAACCUGAAACCAGUUGUCUACAAGCGGUUGGAGCGGACAUAGUUCCGCGACAGCGUGCCUUUUGCAUAAUGGGCCAGUGAGUUACUCUGUGCUGCGAGGUUAAGUUUCGACGGAGCCGUAGCGAAAGCGAGUCUGAACAGGGCGUUCAGUAGCGCGGAGUAGACCCGAAGCCGGGUGAUCUAUCCAUGGGCAGGCUGAAGCUCGGGUAAAACCGAGUGGAGGGCCGAACCGGUAGAAGUUGAAAAUUCUUCGGAUGACCUGUGGAUAGGGGUGAAAGGCCAAUCAAACCCGGUAAUAGCUGGUUCUCCCCGAAAUAUAUUGAGGUAUAGCCUCGGAUUAGGUUGACGGAGGUAGAGCACUGACAGGGCUAGGGGGCCCACCAGCUUACCAAACCCUAUCAAACUCCGAAUGCCGUUUAACCGAUGUCCGGGAGUCAGACUGCGGGUGCGAAGGUCCGUAGUCGAGAGGGAAACAGCCCAGACCGCCGGCUAAGGUUCCCAAAUCCAUGCUCAGUGGGAAAAGAGGUGGGACUACUGAGACAGCCAGGAGGUUGGCUUAGAAGCAGCCAUCCUUUAAAGAAAGCGUAAUAGCUCACUGGUCUAGUGGUCCUGCGCUGAAAAUGUAACGGAGCUAAGCAUGGUACCGAAGCCGCGGGCCGAUCAUAGAUCGGCGGUAGGGGAGCGUUCUCACACGGGAUGAAGGGAAAGGCGUGAGCCGUCCUGGACUUGUGAGAAGUGAUUAUGCUGGCAUGAGUAACGAUAAAAUGGGUGAGAAACCCAUUCGCCGUGAGCCCGAGGGUUCCUGGGUAAAGUUAAUCUGCCCAGGGUGAGUCGGCCCCUAAGGCGAGGCCGAAAGGCGUAGCCGAUGGGAAACAGGUUAAUAUUCCUGUACCAGCGCAUACUGCGAUGGGAUGACGCAGGAGGGUAGGCCAUCCGGGUGUUGGACAUCCCGGUGCAAGCGAGUAGCCAGAUCUGGUAGGCAAAUCCGCCAGGUCGACGGUGAGACGCGAUGCCGAGUCCGCAAGGACGGAAGUGGUUGAGCCCAGACUGCCGAGAAAAGUCUCUAAGCUUCAGGUAUGUGCUGACCGUACCGUAAACCGACACAGGUGGGCGGGGUGAGCAACCCAAGGCGUUCGAGGAAACUCUGGUCAAGGAACUCGGCAAAAUGACCCCGUAAGUUCGCGAGAAGGGGUGCUUCUUGUGGUGGCGAAUUCUCUUCUCAAGCCACGAGGAGCCGCAGAGAAAUGGCGGGGGCGACUGUUUACUAAAAACACAGGUCUCUGCGAAGUCGCAAGACGACGUAUAGGGACUGACGCCUGCCCGGUGCCGGAAGGUUAAGGGGUGGGGUUAGCCGCAAGGUGAAGCCCUAAACCGAAGCCCCGGUAAACGGCGGCCGUAACUAUAACGGUCCUAAGGUAGCGAAAUUCCUUGUCAGGUAAGUUCUGACCUGCACGAAUGGCGCAACGAUCUCCGCGCUGUCUCGACCAGAGACUCGGUGAAAUUGAAGUGGCGGUGAAAAUGCCGUCUACCCGCAGAAGGACGGAAAGACCCUGUGCACCUUUACUACAGCUUGACGUUGUGUUCUGGGCUGGCAUGUGUAGGAUAGGUGGGAGGCUUUGAAUCGUGUACGCCAGUAUGCGUGGAGCCAUCCUUGAAAUACCACCCUUGCCAGUCUAGGGCCCUAACCCGUAGCCGUCAUCCGGCGCGGGGACAGCGUCUGGUGGGUAGUUUGACUGGGGCGGUCGCCUCCCAAACAGUAACGGAGGCUCGCAAAGGUCCCCUCAGGCUGAUUGGAAACCAGCCGUCGAGUGCAAAAGCAGAAGGGGGCUUGACUGUGAGAGAGACAUCUCGAGCAGGGACGAAAGUCGGCUUUAGUGAUCCGGUGGUCCCGCAUGGAAGGGCCAUCGCUCAUAGGAUAAAAGGUACGCCGGGGAUAACAGGCUGAUCGCGCCCAAGAGUUCACAUCGACGGCGCGGUUUGGCACCUCGAUGUCGGCUCAUCACAUCCUGGGGCUGGAGCAGGUCCCAAGGGUACGGCUGUUCGCCGUUUAAAGUGGUACGCGAGCUGGGUUUAAAACGUCGUGAGACAGUUUGGUCCCUAUCCUCUGUGGGCGCAGGAGAACUGCGAGGGGCUGCCCCUAGUACGAGAGGACCGGGGUGGACGAACCUCUAGUGUUCCAGUUGUCGCGCCAGCGGCACGGCUGGGUAGCUACGUUCGGAAAGGAUAACCGCUGAAGGCAUCUAAGCGGGAAGCCUGCCUCAAGAUAAGUUCUCCCUGGAGCUUCGGCUCCCUGAAGAUCCCUGGUAGACCACCAGGUGGAUAGGCCGGAGGUGGAAGCGUGGCGACACGUGGAGCUGACCGGUACUAAUCGAUCGUGCGGCUUACUCCC